rnacentral:rRNA from 1 species
AAGCAAUUAUACAGCGAAACUGCGAAUGGCUCAUUAUAUAAGUUAUCGUUUAUUUGAUAGUACCUUACUACUUGGAUAACCGUGGUAAUUCUAGAGCUAAUACAUGCUAAAAAUCCCGACUUCGGAAGGGAUGUAUUUAUUAGAUUAAAAACCAAUGCCCUCUGGGCUCUCUGGUGAUUCAUGAUAACUUCUCGAAUCGCAUGGCCUUGCGCCGGCGAUGGUUCAUUCAAAUUUCUUCCCUAUCAACUUUCGAUGUUUGGGUAGUGGCCAAACAUGGUUGCAACGGGUAACGGAGGGUUAGGGCUCGACCCCGGAGAAGGAGCCUGAGAAACGGCUACUACAUCCAAGGAAGGCAGCAGGCGCGCAAAUUACCCAAUCCCGACACGGGGAGGUAGUGACAAUAAAUACUGAUACAGGGCUCUUUUGGGUCUUGUAAUUGGAAUGAGUACAAUUUAAAUCCCUUAACGAGGAACAAUUGGAGGGCAAGUCUGGUGCCAGCAGCCGCGGUAAUUCCAGCUCCAAUAGCGUAUAUUAAAGUUGUUGUGGUUAAAAAGCUCGUAGUUGAACCUUGGGCCUGGCUGGCCGGUCCGCCUCACCGCGUGUACUGGUCCGGCCGGGCCUUUCCCUCUGUGGAACCCCAUGCCCUUCACUGGGUGUGGCGGGGAAACAGGACUUUUACUUUGAAAAAAUUAGAGUGCUCCAGGCAGGCCUAUGCUCGAAUACAUUAGCAUGGAAUAAUGAAAUAGGACGUGCGGUUCUAUUUUGUUGGUUUCUAGGACCGCCGUAAUGAUUAAUAGGGACAGUCGGGGGCAUCAGUAUUCAAUUGUCAGAGGUGAAAUUCUUGGAUUUAUUGAAGACUAACUACUGCGAAAGCAUUUGCCAAGGAUGUUUUCAUUAAUCAGGAACGAAAGUUAGGGGAUCGAAGACGAUCAGAUACCGUCGUAGUCUUAACCAUAAACUAUGCCGACUAGGGAUCGGACGAUGUUAUUUUUUGACUCGUUCGGCACCUUACGAGAAAUCAAAG